UACGUAGGGGGCAAGCGUUGUCCGGAUUUAUUGGGCGUAAAGAGCGUGUAGGCGGCCAUGCAGGUCCGUUGUGAAAACUCGAGGCUCAACCUCGAGACGUCGGCGGAAACCAUCUGGCUAGAGUCCGGAAGAGGAGAGUGGAAUUCCUGGUGUAGCGGUGAAAUGCGCAGAUAUCAGGAAGAACACCCGUGGCGAAGGCGGCUCUCUGGGACGGUACUGACGCUGAGACGCGAAAGCGUGGGGAGCGAACAGG
rnacentral:rRNA from 1 species